rnacentral:rRNA from 1 species
GAACGCUGGCGGCGUGCCUAAUACAUGCAAGUCGGGCGAACGGACGAGAAGCUUGCUUCUCUGAUGUUAGCGGCGGACGGGUGAGUAACACGUGGAUAACCUACCUAUAAGACUGGGAUAACUUCGGGAAACCGGAGCUAAUACCGGAUAAUAUUUUGAACCGCAUGGUUCAAAAGUGAAAGACGGUCUUGCUGUCACUUAUAGAUGGAUCCGCGCUGCAUUAGCUAGUUGGUAAGGUAACGGCUUACCAAGGCAACGAUGCAUAGCCGACCUGAGAGGGUGAUCGGCCACACUGGAACUGAGACACGGUCCAGACUCCUACGGGAGGCAGCAGUAGGGAAUCUUCCGCAAUGGGCGAAAGCCUGACGGAGCAACGCCGCGUGAGUGAUGAAGGUCUUCGGAUCGUAAAACUCUGUUAUUAGGGAAGAACAUAUGUGUAAGUAACUGUGCACAUCUUGACGGUACCUAAUCAGAAAGCCACGGCUAACUACGUG